AUUGAAUCCACUAAAAAUAUGUUAAACUCAAGAUUUGACAUGAAAGAUAUGGGUUUAGCUGAUGUUAUACUUGGAGUGAAAAUCUCAAGAACAUAAUAUGGGCUUGUUCUAAGUCAGUCACAUUAUGUGGACAAAAUUUUAGGAAAAUUUCAUAAGGAUGAUAUUGGCUCGGCUAAAACACCAAUAGAUACGAGUCAACAUCUGUCUAAAAACAGAUGAGAAAGUAUCUCUCAAGUAGAAUAUUCGAGAGUUAUCGGAAGUCUAAUGUACUUAAUGAGUUGUACUAGACCAAACAUAGCCUACACAGUCAGUAAACUGAGCAGAUACACGAGUAAUCCAGGAGCUGAUCACUGGAAAGGAAUUGUAAAAGUAUUAAGGUACUUAAGAUAUAUCCGUGACUAUGGACUACAUUAUACUAGAUAUUCAGCAGUCAUUGAAGGAUACGGUGAUGCUAAUUGGAUAUCUAAUAUAAAAGACUCAAAAUCCACCAGUGGAUAUGUGUUCACAUUGGGUGGUGCUGCCAUAUCGUGGAAAUCUUAUAAGCAAAUGGUUAUAGCCAGAGUUACGAUGGAAUAUGAGUUUAUAGCUAUAGAUAAAUGUGGUGAAGAGGCUGAAUGGUUAUGCAACUUCUUAGAAGAUAUUCCAAUAUGGUCAAAACCUGUGCCAGCAAUUUGCAUAUACUGUGACAGUCAAUCGACAAUAUGAAAGGCACAGAGUAACAUAUAUAAUGGUAAGUCUAGACAUAUACGUCGUAGAUACAAUACCAUAAGACAACUACUCUCAACUGGAGUUAUCACUAUUGACUAUAUAAGGUCAAAAGAUAACAUUGCGGAUCCGCUAACCAAAGGGUUAAAUAGAGAGUUAGUUAUGAAAUCAUCGAAAGGAAUGUGAUUUAAGCCCUUGAAAGAAUAAGUCAUUACAAAGGAAAAUCCAACCUAGUUGACUGGAGAUCCCAAGAUCUAGGUUCAAUGGGAAAACCAAACUGUAAAAACUUGAUAAAAUCACUGUGCGGGUAUUACCUCCUGUCCAUUCCUAUGAUGUAACAGUGAUGCCCGUAAGGUUGAAGGUUAAGCAAUAGACUUUUAAUGAUUCUUAUGCAUCAUAAAUCGAGCCAAGUAAUGCGGGUUACUUGUAAUAAGAAAUCACCUAUGUGAGAGAGAAGUGGGGCCGCUUCUAAGAGAAUUGUGUGGGGCUCAAUUCUUAAGAACUCUCAUAGAACCAGGCAUAUGUUCAUGGACAAAACAAACAUAAUAAUGAGAAUUGGAUUGUCUUAGGAAGAAUCAUGUGUGAGGUAUAUCAUCGUUUACACAAAUGAUAGAACAGUUCAAGGACAUCGCGGCCACUGGUCAGCCAGUAAAGUAAAUAUGCUUUCACAAGGAAAGGUUCAAAGGGUGACACCUACCUAUCCUAUGCAGGAUUCAACUGCUGAAAUUUAUCACCCAGUCUUGUGUCUCACGUUUCGUGUCUCUCCCAAUUUUCAUUCAUGUAGGGGAUUGUUGGAAAAAAUUGAGUGAGCGGCUCACUUUUGGCACAAUUUUCGAUCAGACCCGUUGGUCCAAUGUAGAAUAUCAAAGUUGAUAUGUGUUCUCCUUCGCGAGAACAUCGAUUUCAUGUAUUUAUUUGCCAAAAAUGAAACUCGGGUGAAUGAGAAAUUAGAGCUCAAAGUUGGUAAUUGGAAGUUGGUUUUGUAGGAAAAAAUACAUUUAUCCCACAUAGGAAAAUCAAGAAAACUUAAACUACUUUAUAUAUGGCUAUGCUUUGGACAUGUGUAAUCAUGUGUAGCAUAGAGACUCUCUCCACGUGCGCGCGCAGGGGUGCAAAUCACGAGCCGAAAUGGCCUUCGGGCCUUGAACUUAGUUGCGGGCGCAACCUGUGCACACGAAUGUCGGAUCGAACAAGGCAAAAAUGGCCCCCUCGGAGAGCCCAUGUUUUGUCAAUUUUUUUUUUUUUUGCUUUCUCCAAUGACUUUUGAGUUUCUAAACUGCAAAAACUCGCAAUGUUUAUUCCUAGAACUGAAAAGCUGAAACUCCGGUGGUUAAUGUCGUAACUCCAGUGACUCCAAUGGACAGGAAUCAGUCUAUAUAAGGGACGCUCACUCCAACAGUUCAAUACACGAACGAAAAUUUCUCUCUGCAUACGAAAAUAUUCUUCCCAAUUUUCCACGCAGUGUCGUUUUUCCCAGUUCCAGUUUCCAUACAGUGUAGUUUCUGUUCUCUUCCAGUCACGUGCAAUUCGCCGGAGUAGGACCGUGGUGCUCGAAUUCUGCUUAUUACCGUUGUAUCCUGGGAGACAGCCGCUCGAACUGAAUCUCCAGCACCUACGGUGAGGGGGCAAAACUGUCUUAAGGAAACUGUGUACGCUCAGGCCUCGAUUUGAAAUCUGCUGCAGUUUGUGUUUUCUUUCUGUAGAUUUAUUUCGUUGCAGUUCGUGUAGUUUCUUUGCAGAUUCAGUUUAUCCUUGCAGUCUCAGUUUCCAUUUAUUUCUGCAGAUUAUUUUCGCAUCAGUUUCCAUUUAUUUUUGCAAAUUAUUUUCGCAUUGCUAUUUAAUUCAUGCAGUUUGUAGUUCUAUAGUGUGCAGCUUCCAGAUUCAUUGUUUACAGUUUUAGCCUGCAGUUAACUUAUAUUUCUGAUUUUAUGUUGCUAAACAUUUUUUUCCAGCCGCUGGAAAAUUCUGAAACGGAAUUUUUUUUUGAUAAAUUGAUAUCGUUUGCCUUGUGGUUAUCAAUUUCAAUAGUCGGCUAUUGCAUUUGAAUAAAACUUAUACAAUUGGUUUCAUCCACUAGCGACUUGUUUUCCUACAUAUUUUUGAAUUCAGAGUUGAGGCUGUUGUUGUAAAAUAAUAAAAUAAAAAAUAAAAAAAUCAUUCCCUGUCCCACAAUAUGCUUUUUAGUAUUAUCGAUUUGUGUAACAUGCUCUGCUGUAGCUACUUUGGCUUUUCUAUAGCUAAGAGGGAUUCUCGGUGGGCAUAAGCAUGGGUUUCUGAGGAGAGGCUUAUUUCAUUGCUUAUGAACAGGGGUUGAACACUUGUUGAGAGAUGUGAAAUGCUUUCAACUAACGUCAAUUUGGGUUGAUUAUUUUGUUUGAAUAGAAUGAUGCUAUUUACUUCUAUUCCUAGACCAAUGUCGCUUGUGUCGAUACGCAUGAUUUAAUUCAGAUUUCUCGAGAAGGAUCCUUUCAUUUACUCUGGUGCAUUUAGCAGUAGCUACAGAGCUUGGACAUUCCAAAGAGCUCUAUCUCAUGGCAUGUAAUUUUGUCAAGGAUUAUCCUUAAAAGUAUGCAUCUAUAAUGUUGUAUUAUUUAUAUUAACAAUCAUUGUUAAUCUUGAGAAAGAAUAUCAUGUUAUUGCUCUUAUUUAUUUUCUAAAUUUUUUGUUAGUUUUCCACCAUAGUUGAGUGUAUGACUUAAACUAUCAGGGAAAUAGGUUAUUAUAUGAAGAAAGCAACCCUAGUAAUUAAUACCAACUAUUAGGUUUGAACAUGAUUUUUUCACUCCUAGCAACAUUUCUAAAUUGUUUAAAUUAAGAAUAUUUAAUUUAGUUGACAAUAGAGCACAGAUGCAUUAUGAUUCUAACCAAUAGAAUGGAACAUAGCUAUUAUCUUCUUUAGUCAUCUAUGGAGGUGGCGUGCAAAGUUCUAGGGAGUGAGAGAAUAUUAGGAUUUUUGUCCAUAAAAGCUGUUAUGCAAAUUGGAGCUUAUGUUAGAAACCAAAUGCAGUGGUUGUGCAAAAUAUAAAAACACAAUUUUCCCAUCUGUUAUGCAAAUUGGAGCUUAUGUUAGAAACCAAAUGCAUUACCUAUGUUAAAAAAUCUAGGGCACCAUACACUGAUAUAGAAACUUUAGCACCUAGUCCUUUUUUAUUGGUUAAUAUUGUAAGUUUCUUCAAAGUUCGCAUUAAGUUCCC
rnacentral:lncRNA from 1 species